CUCCUCCUCCUCCCGGUGUCGCCGCUUCCCCUCCUCGUCCAGCGGGCGGCCCCGGUUCUCGGCUCCCCGCCCCGCGGCGCCGGGGCUGCCUCAGCCCGCAGCGGGGCUCUGAGCCGUGCCGCGAUGCUUAGCGCUGGCUUCCUGCUUGUUCUGGUGGAAGCAUCCAGUGUCGUCACAGGGAGGGUAAGACCUGGAGCAGUCAUGGAGAAAAGACUCAGAAACUGAGCAGCAAUUCAUUUGAGAGCCAGAGGAGGUGUGACACUGCUCCGUAGAUUGGGCUCAGUGCUAAUGGAAGAAGAACUCCGUGCUGCAGGUUGAAACGGGCAUGCGCAGAUGGGUUUGCUGAUGAGCUUAGCUCCCAGAAGAUCUCGUUCUUUUGAUUCUCCUGUUUUCAGCAUUACAGCCAAGUGUGGCUUCUAGAGAGAGCUGCUGUCCUCAGUCAGUCACAGGGCAAUCCCAAGGAUCU